rnacentral:rRNA from 1 species
UUAAGCGACUAAGCGUACACGGUGGAUGCCCUGGCAGUCAGAGGCGAUGAAGGACGUGCUAAUCUGCGAAAAGCGUCGGUAAGGUGAUAUGAACCGUUAUAACCGGCGAUGUCCGAAUGGGGAAACCCAGUGCAAUUCGUUGCACUAUCGUUAACUGAAUACAUAGGUUAACGAGGCGAACCGGGGGAACUGAAACAUCUAAGUACCCCGAGGAAAAGAAAUCAACCGAGAUUCCCCAGUAGCGGCGAGCGAACGGGGAGCAGCCCAGAGUCUGAAUCAGCUUGUGUGUUAGUGGAACGGUCUGGAAAGUCCGACGGUACAGGGUGAUAGUCCCGUACACCAAAAUGCACAGGCUGUGAACUCGAAGAGUAGGGCGGGACACGUGGUAUCCUGUCUGAAUAUGGGGGGACCAUCCUCCAAGGCUAAAUACUCCUGACUGACCGAUAGUGAACCAGUACCGUGAGGGAAAGGCGAAAAGAACCCCGGCGAGGGGAGUGAAAAAGAACCUGAAACCGUGUACGUACAAGCAGUGGGAGCACCUUCGGGUGUGACUGCGUACCUUUUGUAUAAUGGGUCAGCGACUUAUAUUCUGUAGCAAGGUUAACCGUAUAGGGGAGCCGCAGGGAAACCGAGUCUUAACUGGGCGUUAAGUUGCAGGGUAUAGACCCGAAACCCGGUGAUCUAGCCAUGGGCAGGUUGAAGGUUGGGUAACACUAACUGGAGGACCGAACCGACUAAUGUUGAAAAAUUAGCGGAUGACUUGUGGCUGGGGGUGAAAGGCCAAUCAAACCGGGAGAUAGCUGGUUCUCCCCGAAAGCUAUUUAGGUAGCGCCUCGUGAAUUCAUCUUCGGGGGUAGAGCACUGUUUCGGCUAGGGGGUCAUCCCGACUUACCAACCCGAUGCAAACUACGAAUACCGAAGAAUGUUAUCACGGGAGACACACGGCGGGUGCUAACGUCCGUCGUGAAGAGGGAAACAACCCAGACCGCCAGCUAAGGUCCCAAAGUCAUGGUUAAGUGGGAAACGAUGUGGGAAGGCACAGACAGCCAGGAUGUUGGCUUAGAAGCAGCCAUCAUUUAAAGAAAGCGUAAUAGCUCACUGGUCGAGUCGGCCUGCGCGGAAGAUGUAACGGGGCUAAACCAUGCACCGAAGCUGCGGCAGCGACACUAUGUGUUGUUGGGUAGGGGAGCGUUCUGUAAGCCUGCGAAGGUGACCUGUGAGGGUUGCUGGAGGUAUCAGAAGUGCGAAUGCUGACAUAAGUAACGAUAAAGCGGGUGAAAAGCCCGCUCGCCGGAAGACCAAGGGUUCCUGUCCAACGUUAAUCGGGGCAGGGUGAGUCGACCCCUAAGGCGAGGCCGAAAGGCGUAGUCGAUGGGAAACAGGUUAAUAUUCCUGUACUUGGUGUUACUGCGAAGGGGGGACGGAGAAGGCUAUGUUAGCCGGGCGACGGUUGUCCCGGUUUAAGCAUGUAGGCUGGUUAUCCAGGCAAAUCCGGAUAAUCAAGGCUGAGGUGUGAUGACGAGGCACUACGGUGCUGAAGUAACAAAUGCCCUGCUUCCAGGAAAAGCCUCUAAGCAUCAGGUAACAUCAAAUCGUACCCCAAACCGACACAGGUGGUCAGGUAGAGAAUACCAAGGCGCUUGAGAGAACUCGGGUGAAGGAACUAGGCAAAAUGGUGCCGUAACUUCGGGAGAAGGCACGCUGGUGUGUAGGUGAAGCCCCUGCGGGUGGAGCUGAGACCAGUCGAAGAUACCAGCUGGCUGCAACUGUUUAUUAAAAACACAGCACUGUGCAAACACGAAAGUGGACGUAUACGGUGUGACGCCUGCCCGGUGCCGGAAGGUUAAUUGAUGGGGUUAUCCGUAAGGAGAAGCUCUUGAUCGAAGCCCCGGUAAACGGCGGCCGUAACUAUAACGGUCCUAAGGUAGCGAAAUUCCUUGUCGGGUAAGUUCCGACCUGCACGAAUGGCGUAAUGAUGGCCAGGCUGUCUCCACCCGAGACUCAGUGAAAUUGAACUCGCUGUGAAGAUGCAGUGUACCCGCGGCAAGACGGAAAGACCCCGUGAACCUUUACUAUAGCUUGACACUGAACAUUGAGCCUUGAUGUGUAGGAUAGGUGGGAGGCUUUGAAGCGUGGACGCCAGUCUGCGUGGAGCCAACCUUGAAAUACCACCCUUUAAUGUUUGAUGUUCUAACGUUGGCCCCUUAUCGGGGUUGCGGACAGUGUCUGGUGGGUAGUUUGACUGGGGCGGUCUCCUCCCAAAGCGUAACGGAGGAGCACGAAGGUUAGCUAAUCCUGGUCGGACAUCAGGAGGUUAGUGCAAUGGCAUAAGCUAGCUUGACUGCGAGCGUGACGGCGCGAGCAGGUGCGAAAGCAGGUCAUAGUGAUCCGGUGGUUCUGAAUGGAAGGGCCAUCGCUCAACGGAUAAAAGGUACUCCGGGGAUAACAGGCUGAUACCGCCCAAGAGUUCAUAUCGACGGCGGUGUUUGGCACCUCGAUGUCGGCUCAUCACAUCCUGGGGCUGAAGUAGGUCCCAAGGGUAUGGCUGUUCGCCAUUUAAAGUGGUACGCGAGCUGGGUUUAGAACGUCGUGAGACAGUUCGGUCCCUAUCUGCCGUGGGCGCUGGAGAAUUGAGGGGGGCUGCUCCUAGUACGAGAGGACCGGAGUGGACGCAUCACUGGUGUUCGGGUUGUCAUGCCAAUGGCACUGCCCGGUAGCUAAAUGCGGAAGAGAUAAGUGCUGAAAGCAUCUAAGCACGAAACUUGCCCCGAGAUGAGUUCUCCCUGAGACUUUAAGUCUCCUGAAGGAACGUUAAAGACGAUGACGUUGAUAGGCCGGGUGUGUAAGCGCAGCGAUGCGUUGAGCUAACCGGUACUAAUGAACCGUGAGGCUUAACCUU